rnacentral:rRNA from 1 species
UACGUAGGGGGCAAGCGUUGUCCGGAAUUAUUGGGCGUAAAGAGCGCGUAGGCGGUCCGAUAAGUCGGCUGUGAAAGUCAGGGGCUCAACCCUUGAAAGCCGGCCGAUACUGUCGGACUAGAGUCCGGAAGAGGCAAGUGGAAUUCCCGGUGUAGCGGUGAAAUGCGCAGAUAUCGGGAGGAACACCAAUGGCGAAGGCAGCUUGCUGGGACGGUACUGACGCUGAGGCGCGAAAGCUAGGGGAGCAAACAGG